ACCAGCAAUUAAUCUUAAUUAAUUAAUUGGACGUGUACCAAUAGGCCACAGUCUCCAUUUUUCCAAGAAUUAAUUCCAAAUUACACAGCCCUUUCUGGGACCCUUCCUCCAAAUUUACAGCGACAUAUCAGUUCCUUCCUAAGUAAUUAUAGGAAACUAUGGGACCCGUAAAAUAAAAUGUCACAAGACCUUCCUGUUCACCCUGCUCUGUGUGUGAGAGCGCUGCUCAGCAUCUUCUGCGUAGCUUUGCCUGCCUGGCACUCCCUGAUAACUUUUGUGUUCGUGUUGAGGAUGGCAACAACAUGAAGGAUGUAAAUCUUGUUCUUUGGGGUUCUUUCUCUUGUUUAUGAAAAGCGCCCUGAGAUAACUUCUGUUAUGAUUUGGCGCAGUCGCUAGAUGAGAAAGAGGUCUUUCUCCUGGCUAGAAGUCCAGCGUCCUAAACGUGCCACAUUUCUGAGAUGAUGCAAGAGUGUGUGUGGCUGCCCGUGGUCUGCAUUGCAGCUCCUGCUUCUACAGUCAGCGUCUGUCUCUCUCUCUUUCUCUCUCGCUCUCUCUCUUCUAAAUGCGCUGAUGGUAUAACAAACUGUGUACUGAGUCUGCGUAUUUAUUUUUCCUUUGUAAAGAUGAUUGUAAAGAAGAACGUUCUCAGCAUCGGUGCUGAAGCGGAUACUGUCCCAGUCACCACACCAAUGUGAAGGGUGAUUCCUUAUGAGUGCAUUAGGACUAUGGUUAUUUUACUAGUCUGUGUAGGCUACACAUUGACACAAGGUGACACAUAGAGACAGAAGUACACGAUUCCAGCUUCCCUCCUGACAGUUUUUUUAAAAUUGUAGAAAAGUGUAGAAAUGUACAACUGUCAGCUAUUAAAUUGCUUAUCAUGCAUAUUUUACUGCAGUUUACUCACUCAGCGACUUACUGUUAGUAUUAAAUUACCAUUUCUCUGGUUAAAAAAAAAAAAAAAAAAAGAAAAGGACUAGAGUGAAGAUACUGUAUUACCCUUAUGGGUUUCCCCAGGGUGCUUCACAGUUCCAUCCUGAUGUUGCUGACCGCUCUCUGAAGGCCUCCUGUCCCUUUAAAUCUUUUAUAAGCAUUACACAACAGGUCCAGUGACACACAAGCAACAAACAGCCCGAAAAAGAAAAUUGACGAGGUUGGGUUGAGCCAGCCAGGCGAAGGAACCAGACACCUACGGAUAGACAGGACCUCUGAUCAGCUGUCACUGUGGCUACCAUACAAACACACACACACAUACAUUGCCCUAUGCAUCUGCGCAACACUCCUUGGGAUUUUGUUAUUCCUCUCUUUGUGAAAAUCAAAGUAAAUCACAUCUGAUGUUUUAAUCAGUUAAAGACAGUAGUGUUUGCAGGAGUUGUCAUUGUGAUCAUGAAGAAAUUAAGGCAGACUGUGUGUAGGCGUGUGUGUUCUGGAGGGACAGGGGUGUUUGAAGCAAGACAAUGAAUUGUUGUGGUCCUUUCACCUACAUGCAAAUACUAAAAACAGCCAGAGGAGGAAAAAAAAGGUUAUUCAAAACGAUUGGGUAGUUGUGUACUUUGUUGAAGCACUUGGCAACAAAUCAGUGAACUGGCCACUACCUGUCCUUGCCCCACCCUGUCAGUGUAUUGUUGCUGUGUGUCUGCGUCAUGGCUCUCAUUGCCAGCGACUGACUGCCACUUCCUUGCUUUUCUCUUGUAGUGGCUGGAGUGCAACGCACCAUCAUUCUCACAGUUCUAUCAAGCAACAGAGAGGAGAGGACUCAUCGAGAUCUGUCUGUACAUAGCUGCAGAUUCAAGGGUGUUUUACAUCACAAGAAGUCUUUUGUCAGACGUGCUCCCCUUGGAAGCUGGUUUCAGAUGGUGGCUUAGAGUAUUGUCACCUAUCUAGCACCAUUUGAAAUCAGUGUUCUUGGGGUGGGAAGUGUGUUUCAAUAACCAGCAACAGGCAGCCAUGGAGAAUCACCAGGGGUGUCCAGUGAUAGAAGUAAAAGAAAGAGACUUCACCUGGCAAGUAUCAUUUCCUCAAACACCUUUCAGUGGGCAACUAACCACCGAUCUACAGUGAUGUUUUGACAGCUCAAAUUCCUUGUCCUCUCUCCAAGGUUGACCGAUUUCUUUUGGUGUUCAGAGUCUGCUUUUGUUUCUAGCACCAUUUGAAAUCGGUUACAGUGAAGGACAGAUCUCAUCUUACUUUGAGAAGGAUUUUGCAACUAAUCUGUGCUCAUUAUUUUACUGACUGCAUUGACUGUAGUUACAUUUUGUCACAUUAACGUUUUAAGUGGAGAAAAAAAAACAAACUCUCAGUGGAUAAUAAGGCAUUUGGGAAUUUAGUUCUUCAAUAAUCCAGAAUCUCUCAUUGAUAUCUUGACUGUUUUUUUCAGGGGUGGAAGGAGUAUUCAAAUCCUCUACUUCAAUAAAAGUACAUUUGCAUCUCAUGUGUAGUGAUGCUAGUAUUAGGGAUGUACCGAUCCACAUUUUUUCACUUCCUAUCCGAUCCCAAUACCUGAAUUUGGGUAUCUACUGAUACCGAUACUAUUUCGAUACCAGAGCUCUGUUUGCUUUAAUAUUAUUAUUAUCAUGAUUGUUGAUUUUAUAUGAUGCUGUAAUAAAUCUUCUGUACAGGCAAGUGUGAUAUGUAUGAAUGUAUGCAUAUAUGUCCCAAAAGGCAACUUGAGGUAAGUAUAAGGUUAGAAAAACAGGAAAUCCUGUUAACAGUCAAUAUUUCUUAAAUUCAAGAGAUCCCCGUAAAGGGUAACCUUCUUUUAGACUACCCCUCUCCAAAUAAAAUAGAAAUAAAAAGGGCUACUUGAUCUGAUCAGCACAAAUUAAGUAUACUGACUCUUGUAGCAGCAUCAAAUCGCAAAUAUCCCGAAGGGUGGAAGCUCACUCACGGUUCAUUUUCUUCCUGCUGUACCUAGAAGGGACAGAAGUCUGUGAGUAAUAUAUUGUUGGUGUGUGAAUUACCUGUAUGACUUACCUGUUGUGGUGCCCCGCUUUGGUUUAUCAUUUGUGUGUAAAAGUUAAUAGCUCGACCGAUCCGAUGCUAAUGCGCUACCCCGUCAACGGGAUUCUCCAUAUUAUGUUAGCAUCGAGUUAAUCACUACUUAUUACCACUUGUAGGUCGCGACGGAGCUGCCGCCCCUCGGUACAAUGGCUUUGCAAACAUUGCACGUUGCAAACAUUGCACAUUGCUGUCUUGCUCAAGGAUCAGGAUCAAGGAUCAAGGAUCAAGGAACUUUAUUGUCAUACCAGGACAUUUGCAUGUUAUGGUACGAAAUUGGUACUCAGGUCCCAGUUUUAAGCCAUAAACAUUAGAGAAAUAUAAAUAUAGACAUUAGAGAAAUAUAAACAGAGAAUAUAAACAUUGUGAAAUUUAACAACUAGCAAUUAAAUAAGAUAAAAAAUAGAUAAGGUAAGGAGGCCGAAGUUAGCAUGUGCAAAAAAAAAAAAAAAAAAUACUCGUGCAAGUAGGGAGUAGUGCAAGGGUCCGUGUGUUA